UGGCUCAGUCAUGUAAUUUUUUUUUUUCAAGGUUUUUAAAGUGGCAUUUAUUGAUUGAAAAUAAUAAAUGUGUAAGUUGUUGGUAGCAUGGAAUCCACGUAUUUUUAAUAUUGAAUUUGAAGUACAAGAUUCCUUGAACCAUCUCCUGUUUUUCUUGUGUGUGCUUAUAACCCACCACUACACUCAAAAGGUGGGGGGAGUCAAGUGGAGAGGAAUUUCCAACAUUUUACUGGAAAAAAAAAAAUCUUCCUUCAGCAGCGCUCCAGUUUGACAAAUUUUGG
rnacentral:lncRNA from 1 species